AUUGAACGCUGGCGGCAUGCCUUACACAUGCAAGUCGAACGGCAGCACGGACUUCGGUCUGGUGGCGAGUGGCGAACGGGUGAGUAAUGUAUCGGAACGUACCCUUCAGUGGGGGAUAACGUAGCGAAAGUUACGCUAAUACCGCAUAUUCUGUGCGCAGGAAAGCAGGGGAUCGCAAGACCUUGCGCUGAUUGAGCGGCCGAUAGCAGAUUAGCUAGUUGGUGAGGUAAAGGCUCACCAAGGCGACGAUCUGUAGCGGGUCUGAGAGGAUGAUCCGCCACACUGGAACUGAGACACGGUCCAGACUCCUACGGGAGGCAGCAGUGGGGAAUUUUGGACAAUGGGGGCAACCCUGAUCCAGCCAUGCCGCGUGAGUGAAGAAGGCCUUCGGGUUGUAAAGCUCUUUCGGCCGGGAAGAAAUCGUAUCAGCUAAUACCUGGUGCGGAUGACGGUACCGGCAUAAGAAGCACCGGCUAACUACGUGCCAGCAGCCGCCGUAAUAC
rnacentral:rRNA from 1 species